GACGAACGCUGGCGGCGUGCUUAACACAUGCAAGUCGAACGGAAAGGCCCUGAUUUUGUGGUGUGCUGGAGUGCCGAUCGCGUGAGUGACACGUGUAUAACCUGCCCUUGUCUUUGGGAUAACUUCAGGAAACUGGGGCUACUACCGGAUAGGAGCUCCUGCUGCAGGGUGGGGGUGGGAUAUUUUCGGCGGUUGGGGAUGGACUGGCGGGUAAUCAGUUUGCUGGUGGGGUAGUGGCUUACCAAGGCUUUGGCCGGUAGCCGGCUUGGGGGGGUGACCGGCCACAAGGCGACUGAGAUACGGCCCAGACGGCUACGUGAGGCAGCGGUGGCGAAUAUUGCACAAUGGGCCGAAGCCUGAUACAGCAGCGUCGGGUUCGGAAAGACGGUUUGUUGGGAAUAAACAGCAUCAGCCUGUGACGCAGCGGGAGUGACGGUAAUGGGUAAAGAAGCACCGGCUAACUACGUG
rnacentral:rRNA from 1 species